rnacentral:rRNA from 1 species
UACAGAGACUGCAAGCGUUAUUCGGAUUCACUGGGCGUAAAGGGUGCGCAAGCGGUUGGGUGUGUCAGAUGUGAAAUCCCGAGGCUUAACCUCGGAACUGCGUCUGAAACUACUCGACUAGAGUACUGGAGAGGGAAACGGAAUUCACGGUGUAGCAGUGAAAUGCGUAGAUAUCGUGAGGAACACCAGAGGCGAAGGCGGUUUCCUGGACAGUUACUGACGCUCAGGCACGAAAGCAUGGGGAGCAAAAGGG